rnacentral:rRNA from 1 species
GAUGAACGCUGGCGGCGUGCCUAAUACAUGCAAGUCGAGCGAACGGACGAGAAGCUUGCUUCUCUGAUGUUAGCGGCGGACGGGUGAGUAACACGUGGAUAACCUACCUAUAAGACUGGGAUAACUUCGGGAAACCGGAGCUAAUACCGGAUAAUAUUUUGAACCGCAUGGUUCAAAAGUGAAAGACGGUCUUGCUGUCACUUAUAGAUGGAUCCGCGCUGCAUUAGCUAGUUGGUAAGGUAACGGCUUACCAAGGCAACGAUGCAUAGCCGACCUGAGAGGGUGAUCAGCCACACUGGAACUGAGACACGGUCCAGACUCCUACGGGAGGCAGCAGUAGGGAAUCUUCCGCAAUGGGCGAAAGCCUGACGCAGCAAUGCCGCGUGAGUGAUGAAGGUCUUCGGAUCGUAAAACCCUGUUAUUAGGGAAGAACAUAUGUGUAAGUAACUGUGCACAUCUUGACGGUACCUAAUCAGAAAGCCCCGGCUAACUACGUG